rnacentral:rRNA from 1 species
GAUGAACGCUAGCGGCAGGCUUAACACAUGCAAGUCGAGGGGUAGAGGAAGCUUGCUUCCUUGAGACCGGCGCACGGGUGCGUAACGCGUAUGCAAUCUACCUUUUACAGAGGGAUAGCCCAGAGAAAUUUGGAUUAAUACCUCAUAGUAUAUAUCAUUCGCAUGUUUGGUAUAUUAAAGUUCCAACGGUAAAAGAUGAGCAUGCGUCCCAUUAGUUAGUUGGUAAGGUAACGGCUUACCAAGACGAUGAUGGGUAGGGGUCCUGAGAGGGAGAUCCCCCACACUGGUACUGAGACACGGACCAGACUCCUACGGGAGGCAGCAGUGAGGAAUAUUGGUCAAUGGACGCAAGUCUGAACCAGCCAUGCCGCGUGCAGGAAGACGGUCCUAUGGAUUGUAAACUGCUUUUGUACGGGAAGAAACACUCCUACGUGUAGGAGCCUGACGGUACCGUAAGAAUAAGGAUCGGCUAACUCCGUGCCAGCCGCCGCCGUAAGAC